rnacentral:misc_RNA from 1 species
AAGUCGUAACAAGGUUUCCGUAGGUGAACCUGCGGAAGGAUCAUUAACACGUUUCUAUCAUAAAACGUAACACAAAACGCGAACUAAGUUCUAUACACUAUACGUAUAACACUAAUCACAAAUUUCACCAUUCUACUUUUUGCUAGUUGACUUUAUCUUGUUACAGUAUUCGCUCUUGCAGCGGUAUCGUAGCACGUUUAUUAAUUGAACGUUAAAUUGUACAACUCUUAGCAAUGGAUAUCUUGGUUCUC